UUGUAUUAAAUAAAGAGGACUGU
rnacentral:piRNA from 1 species